rnacentral:tRNA from 1 species
GGGCGUAUAGCUCAGCGGUAGAGCUCUGGUUUUACACACCAGCGGUCGGCGGUUCGAACCCGUCUGCGCCCACAA